AUUGAACGCUGGCGGCAGGCCUAACACAUGCAAGUCGGACGAGCGGCGGACGGGUGAGUAAUGUCUGGGAAUCUGCCUGAUGGAGGGGGAUAACUACUGGAAACGGUAGCUAAUACCGCAUACCAUCAGAUGAACCCAUAUGGGAUUAGCUAGUAGGUAAGGUAACGGCUUACCUAGGCGACGCUCCCUAGCUGGUCUGAGAGGAUGAUCAGCCACACGGGGACUGAGACACGGCCCAGACUCCUACGGGAGGCAGCAGUGGGGAAUAUUGCACAAUGGGCGCAAGCAUGAUGCAGCCAUGCCGCGUGUAUGAAGAAGGCCUUCGGGUUGUAAAGUACUUUCAGUGGGGAGGCGUUACUGACAGAAGAAGCACCGGCUAACUCCGUGCCAGCAGCCGCGGUAAUUC
rnacentral:rRNA from 1 species